UACGUAGGGGGCAAGCGUUGUCCGGAUUUACUGGGCGUAAAGAGCGCGUAGGCGGAAGUUUAAGGCGGUGCUUGAAAGCCCCCGGCUCAACCGGGGAGAGUGGUGCCCGAACUGGACUUCGUUGAGGGCGAUAGAGGAGAGUGGAAUUCCGGGUGGUAGCGGUGAAAUGCGGUAGAGAUCCGGAGAACACAGUGGCGCAGGGCCGGCUCUCUGGGUCGGCCCUGACGCU
rnacentral:rRNA from 1 species